GGGACGCGCAUUAUGAAGAACAUGUAAGUGCGUAGACCGGUAGCGAUAAAACACCAAAAGCAAAGGAAGGAUAGAGGACUGAGAAGAGGGAAAGGGAGAUUGGAGCUGCUGGAAGUUUUAGGAAUGGGCUGUUUGGGAAGAAGGAAAAUUACAAGAAUAAUUGUCUUGUGGGGUUUCUUCCCAAGCCCGCCCAUUCCUAUGAUUUCCAGCUGUUCCUCCCUUUCCCUUGUAUCUCUAUAUUCAGAUUAGUCCCCUUGUCAAGAUCAUUCUCAAGCUCAUAGUAAAGAACAGAAGAAAAAGCAUCAGCGGCUGGCUGUGGAUGAACAUAAUCAAUUAAAAUGAAGUGUUUUUUAUGUUCACCCACGAGCUUUAUUUUCCUAAGAACCUAAACAAAAAGGAAUAUAAUUAUAAUCUUUCUGAUAUGCUUGUUCAUGGUGGUGUUCAUCGUCUUGAAAAUAAACAAAAGCUAUUUUUUAUCAAUAAACGAAAAAGGGGGAUCAAGUGGGAAAACAAAGCUGUAAUGAAACAGACUGUUGGACUUUCAAUAUUGGUGGAACUACGUACUUCCAUUUGUAUCUCCAGAUUUGGACUUUUAGUGGCGACUUCAAUCAUUCCCAAAAUGAAAAUUGAGCAAAUCAUUUGAAGACCACCCACAAGUCCCAUAUUUAUUCCAACUUUUUAUAAGCUGCAAAUUUUGGUGUGAAGAGUAUAUUGGGUUAAAUUGUUAUAUUAAGGUUCUUUUGGGAAUACGGUGUGUGGGAAAAAGUGUUCAAUCUAAGAUGUAGACGUUGAGAAAAGUGAGACCUAGACUGUAAUAUUUAGUGCAUGGUUGAGAAAAGUGUUCUCUUACAUGCCAAAAGUUUCAUGACAAGAAGUUGUCAUGUAAAACAUGCUUGAGAGAGAGCAUUAUUUUAGCUUCAACAAAAAGUAUCUAUGUUGAUGAGUUAUUAUGCCAAAGACACGAUAUUAACUCUAGUAAAUAAAUCAUUGUCUUUGGCAACUUUAGGAAAAUAUUUUAUUUUAUCUGAAUUUUUUAUUAGUAUUUGGAAACCACCAAAAACUGAUAAAGCGGCUAAAUUACAAGAGAAGUAAGCCUAUACAGACCAUACAAGCGCACAAAGAGCCCAUACAAAGGGUUUGGUUAAGAUAUAUCAAAUCCCACCAAGUAUACAAAUGGAACCAAUUUUUUAAAAUGGGAGGAAUGUUAUAAAUCUGAAAAGUUAGAGAGAUAAUCUUUACUAGGGACAGUCGAGUAGUAAGUGCAAGAUAUCAUAUUGUUUAGUUUCGUAAUUAUAACACAAAAGAUUGCAAGAAAAGAGGAAGAGAGGGAUAAUGAUAUUAAUGCUUUCAUUUCUUUUCUUUGUUGUGUGUUGUAAUCACAUACGGAGUGCUCUUUAUAUAAAGCCACAUCCGUGACAAAACAAAAUGUGAAGUGAUUGCUCUAUUUGAAAACUUCACAUAAUAACAAACUACUGUGAUCUUUUUGAAAACAUUGCAUAAUAACAAAUACAUUUUUGUGAGAAUUGCCCACAGUAAUGUAUUUGUUAUUAUGCGAAGUUUUAAAAAAGGUUAUAGUAAUUUGUUAUUAUGUGAAGUUUUCAAAAAGAGAAAUCAUUUCACAUUUUGUUUUGUUACGGAUGUAGCUAUAUAUAAAGAGCACUCCGUGUGUGAUUACAACACACAACAAAGAAAAGAAGUGAAAGCAAUAAUAUCAAUAUCCCUCCCUUCAUCUUUUCCUGCAA